rfam:Tuber melanosporum whole genome shotgun sequence assembly, scaffold_251, strain Mel28
UAAGUUUCUUAAGCCUAGGUAAAGGUGCUUUUUUGGUAACGAAUUAGUACUAAGCUUUAUCGACAAUGUGAGAAGCUUUCCUAAAUACGUGGAAACUAUCUUAUUAGGCUAGAUAGCUAAGAAUAACUUAAUGUGAAUUUCUUAAAGGCG